AGUGCUAUGUACAUAUUAUUGUUUUUACAAAUAUGUUUCAGUUGCAUUAUUUUUUUUUCUUCAAUUAUAAGCAAAAGUUAUGGUAUCCCGAUAGCAAAUAUCAUAUAAUCAACAGUUUACCCAUAUGCCCGGAGGUAAAAAAUGAAAAGCUUUUAGAUUUUGUGAAUUUCAAAUCCAUCGUCGUGCCCCUAAUUCAAAAUUUUGAGAUUUUCAGAAUUUUAUUUCUUAAUUUGUUUUAAGAUUUAGCUAUUGCAAUGAGUGGUUAAAAUAAAAGGUUUAUAAGAUGAUACUGGGGGAAAAUCCCUGAAGUUACAAAAUUCUACUAACUUUAAACUUCCAUUUUUAUGAUACGGGAGAUUUGCAAAAGCUGAGACAUGCUGACCUAAAAUUCUGAAUGACAGCCUACUCCACAGUUCUAGUCUUUGCUCUUCACGCUAUGAUUAAAGUUGAUUUUAAGAAUUGCAUGCUGCCACAAAAGCUGACCUAAAACCCUGAAUGACAAAGCCUACUCCACAAUUCUAGUCCCUGCUCUUCAUACUACCAUUAAAGUUGAUGUAAGAAAAUUAGUGGGCAGAGAUUCUCAAGUGAAGUGAACCACAUGGAACAUAGGGUAUGUUGCUGUGGAACCCCAGCUUCCCUAACACCCAAUAACCCUUCUGAUGUUCCAGCUUGCAUGAAGUCUAAGACAUGAUGUAAGGAUCUUAAGAAAAUGAAUGGAGGGAUCUCAUUGGCAUUCUCAAAGAGUCUCUUAUUUCUGGCCAACCAUAUAUAAGAGGCAACAUAGCAGCUGGAAGAAAGCCUCCGAGUUCCAUGAAUAGAUGGAGAGAGAGAGAGAGACAACUAAAAGCCUGGCUCCAACUAAACAUAGAGAGUAGAGUGAUGGCUCACUAACUCUUUAACUCUUUGUCCACGGGUGCCAACCCAUCCGUUUGUCAACUAGGUGCCGCAAAGGAGUCGCCAAAGAGAGCACUUCGGAGCUAAGCUCACCUCCAAAGUACUACUCAGUGAUUCUCCUAUCCCACAUUCUUUCGUCGGCAACCAUUAGAUCAUGGACUACCUUCAAUCCAAAUCCUCAUCGUCAAUUAUGUAUAGACAACAUGCUAGGAACUGUAGAGAUCUAGAGGUUAUUGCUUCCAUUAAUAGUCCCCUCGUCACCGAUCAUCCAUCGAAAUCUAAAGGCAAGCAUGGAUGCAUAUGAACUAGCGCUUUCCAAAUAAGGAGCAAUUUCGGUGUUGGUUUCUUAUGUUGGCCAGACCACUCUCUAUGUUUAGCGCUCAUCAAAGGGCUCCAAAGGUUCUGAGGCUCUAAAAGAAGCUUCCUUGCAUGUUUCAUCAUCGGUGCAUGAUACAUCCAAGGCAAGGUGGCGAAUCCUUCAAGACUUGAGAAACUUCAAAGGAAAUUCCAGAUCAUCUGUUCAACCCUACUAAUUACUUCUCUCGAGAAGAAAGUAUUAGCUUUGAGGACUAGCAAUUAUCUGACAGGCCAACAUACUGUAAUCCCAACCUCAAGUCAAGAGGUUAGAGCCAACCAUUACUUGGAGAUAGCUGAACCGGAAGGAGGAUUUUAGAAAGCAGGGUGUUGGAGGAUCUUGACCUGGAGAUCUCUUGGUAGUCUGGUUGAGUGAUACAAGCAGCUCCUUCCAUAGGGAAAAUGGUUCGUUUCAUGGUUAUUGAAAAUUGAAAAUAGAGAGAUGAUGAGAGGAGAAUUUGUUUUGUAAUAUUUGAUUUUUUUUUUCUACUAUAUGAGCACUACUAUAGGUCAGAUUUGAGACCAUGUAAAGUGGGCUUAUCCUUGCACAAGCUUGGGAUAAAUGUCAAUUAGAUUUUAUUUUGGGUC